rnacentral:rRNA from 1 species
GAGGAAUAUUGGGCAAUGCCCGCAAGGGUGACCCAGCAACGCCGCGUGGAGGAUGAAUGUCGUAAGAUUGUAAACUCCUGUUAGAGGGGAAGAAUAGUACCGGUUGGACCGGUAUAUGACUGUACCCUACGAGAAAGCCCCGGCUAACUACGUUCCAGCAGCCGCGGUAAUACGUAGCGGGCAAGCGUUGUCCGGAUUUACUGGGGGUAAAGGGCGCGCAGGCGGGAUAAAAAGUCAGUGGUGAAAUCCUACAGCUUAACUUUAGAACUGCCUGUAAUACUUUUAGUCUUGAGUUCGGGAGAGAGAGAGCGAAUUCCAGGUGUAGUGGUGAAAUACGGAGAUAUAUGGAAGAAUACCAGUUGCGAAGGCGGUCUCUUGGUCCGACACUGACGCUGAUGCGCGAAAGCGUGGGGAGCAAACA